CAUACCAAAUUCCGAUGGCCAUGUAAUGACACACGAUGAUCCAAUGAUGAGAAAAAGCAAGUUGAUGAUGCAAUUCUAUGAUAUUGCCGAACUUGGCUCACAAUCACCACAGAAAUACAACCACCUCUCUCUUGCCUUAGACAAGGUCCACAAGGAGUUGCUCUUUAUGGAAGAUAUUGAGGGAGAAAAAAAUAUAGAAGGUGGAAAUAUGUCACAGAAUGAUUCGCAAGUGUUGAAAUCCCAAGUUGUAUCAAAUUUUUCUCAAAUUUUACAAGAUCCUCCAAGGGUGCCAACGAAGGGCCGACCAAAAGCGUUGAGAGCAAAAAAUCCGAAAGAGACUCAAAGCACGAAAAAAAGGCGUUGUAGCAUUUGCAAGAUUGAGGGUCAUGCUAAGAACAACUGUCCUUCAGUAAGGGAUCUUGGAAAUACUGGUGGGAACAUAUCUCAAAACUUGGAUCCGUCGGGUCAAACAUGAGUUAAUACAAGGAAGAAUUGUAUUGGUUGGCUUAGAGAUGAAGUUGGAGGAUUGCAAUGAUGGCUCGAUUCCGUAGGGUCAAUGGAGAUGUUCAUUUUGGAAAUGUGUUGUAAUCGAAUGUGAUGGUGGAAAUGUUAUGUAUUUAUUGGAUAUUCAGAUUUUAGCAAUUUAGUGUAAUGUUGAUGAUGUGCAUUUCCAGAUUUUAAGAUUUUAGCAAGUUAGUGUAAUGAUGAUGAUGUAUGUUUUCAGAUUUUCAGAUUUUAGCAAGUUAGUGUAAUGAUGAUGAUGUAUGUUUUCAGA